UGUCCGCUUCACACAAACACUCAUCGGCGCAUGAUACAUACAUGCUCCGGAGAGCACAUCGGAGAGCAUGGAUGCAGUGCUGGGCCAACGCGAGGAGCCAUGCAGAUCCAACCACUGCAGAAGCAAGAAAGGUCUGUCCACACAUCUACCUGUCUCUCUGAUCUAGACUCUUCUCUUAGAGUAUUUGACAGACUGUGGUUGACACUCGAUUUAAGGGGGUGUCAGUUUGUCAAAUACCCCAAGAGAGGAGGCACGAGUCUCCAGAGUUCUGCGUUUGAUCCUGUAACCCUCAUAUGUUCAACCAUGUUUGCAGUAUAUGUGUAAAUGUAGCUACUUAUUGCUCAUGCAAAAUGUCUAUGGAAAAAAAAAAAAAAAAUCAAAUAAGCAGGACCACAAGAAGAGUUUUCCACAUGACAAUUUAUUCAUUUAUAAUGUCCAUAUUUGUUCAUUAGCUCUAUAUUGCUGCAAUAUUUCUGGGUGGGUGAACAGGUAGAUUAGAUACAUAGAUGGAAAAACAAAUGCCAGAAAAGUACCAUUAAUGUAGUGCUGUGUGUAUCAGGGAUCAUUAUGUUAUAAUAAAGUACUCUUACACUCUCCACAUGAUUCAUAUAACCAGUGUUCAGCGGUCUGAGGACACUGACAGCUGCUGGUGACAGCUGAAAUUUGUGUGUGUCAUUAUUAGUAUGUGUUGUAAUGCGAAUAGGAGUGUGCUAUCUGUAUUUGUGUGAAUUAAAUUUAACCAUGUUUUGUUUACCUUUAGUAAUUCAAUUCUGUGUACAGUGAUUGUUUAGGAUUAUGAAACAAUAAUUACUCCUUUUAGACAUGUAAUUUUAUCAGGUUCAUGAGAAAAAUACAUUUGCUUUUCCAGAAAGAAACACUGGUGCUUGCAAGGCUGCAUACGAAUGGUUUGUUUACUGCUUGUUUUCUGAGAAGGCCAACUUUCAAUUUAAAUCUUGAAACUGAAUUUACUUUGAAUUAAGGUAGCAAAUAAAAAUUAGAAUUUAAUUGUUGAAUUAUUUUUGAUUUAACUACAAUUUACAAAGUGUAAAGGAAAGUUUGUAUGUAAUAAAUAAAAAAUGUUUAGCAUUAA